rnacentral:lncRNA from 1 species
UAAAAUCUUAUAAUUUUAUUUUUUUUGUUAUUGUUUAAUUGUACACCUUAAUUUUCUUAUGUGCUUUGUAAAAUAAACUUGUGUCAGUUUCUAGAAUGCAACUUGUAUCAGACUGAAGGGGAUGUAACUAGUGAAUAUGUUCACAUAUCACAUGAUUCAAAUCUACCUUUUGCCUAAUGAAAUGAUAACAAAUUUCAUCCUCCAUUUUUUCUUAUUUUGUAACAUUAGGAUCAACACCCUGCCUGCCUUGAAACA